ACGUGGUAGGGGAGCGUUCUGUAAGCCGAUGAAGGUGUGUUGAGAAGCAUGCUGGAGGUAUCAGAAGUGCGAAUGCUGACGUGAGUAACGACAAAACGGGUGAAAAACCCGUUCGCCGAAAGACCAAGGGUUCCAGUCCAACGUUAAUCGGGGCUGGGUGAGUCGACCCCUAAGGCGAGGCCGAAAGGCGUAGUCGAUGGGAAAAUGGUUAAUAUUCCAUUACUUCUGUGUAAUGCGAUGAGAGGACGGAGAAGGCUAAAUCAGCCUGGCGUUGGUUGUCCAGGUGAAAGGAUGUAGGCAUGUAUCUUAGGCAAAUCCGGGGUACUCUAUGCUGAGAUCUGAUAGCAAGCUGUACUUGUACAGCGAAGUGGUUGAUGCCAUGCUUCCAGGAAAAGUCUCUAAGCUUCAGUUACACAGGAAUCGUACCCGAAACCGACACAGGUGGUCAGGUCGAGUAGACCAAGGCGCUUGAGAGAACUCUGCUGAAGGAACUAGGCAAAAUGGUACCGUAACUUCGGGAGAAGGUACGCUGUUGUUGGUGAUGGAACUCGCUUCCUGAGCUGACGACAGCCGCAGAAACCAGGCCGCUGCAACUGUUUAUUAAAAACAUAGCACUCUGCAAACACGAAAGUGGACGUAUAGGGUGUGAUGCCUGCCCGGUGCUGGAAGGUUAAUUGAUGGGGUUAGCGUAAGCGAAGCUCUUGAUCGAAGCCCCAGUAAACGGCGGCCGUAACUAUAACGGUCCUAAGGUAGCGAAAUUCCUUGUCGGGUAAGUUCCGACCUGCACGAAUGGCAUAAUGAUGGCGGCGCUGUCUCCAGCAGAGGCUCAGUGAAAUCGAAAUCGCUGUGAAGAUGCAGUGUACCCGCGGCUAGACGGAAAGACCCCGUGAACCUUUACUGCAGCUUGACACUGAACUUUGACCUUACUUGUGUAGGAUAGGUGGGAGGCUUUGAAGCUGGAACGCUAGUUCCAGUGGAGCCGUCCUUGAAAUACCACCCUGGUAAUGUUGAGGUUCUAACUCUGUCCCGUGAUCCGGGACGAGGACCGUGUCUGGUGGGUAGUUUGACUGGGGCGGUCUCCUCCUAAAGAGUAACGGAGGAGUACGAAGGUGCGCUCAGCGUGGUCGGAAAUCACGCGUAGAGUAUAAAGGCAAAAGCGCGCUUAACUGCGAGACCCACAAGUCGAGCAGGUACGAAAGUAGGUCUUAGUGAUCCGGUGGUUCUGUAUGGAAGGGCCAUCGCUCAACGGAUAAAAGGUACUCUGGGGAUAACAGGCUGAUACCGCCCAAGAGUUCAUAUCGACGGCGGUGUUUGGCACCUCGAUGUCGGCUCAUCUCAUCCUGGGGCUGAAGCAGGUCCCAAGGGUAUGGCUGUUCGCCAUUUAAAGAGGUACGCGAGCUGGGUUUAGAACGUCGUGAGACAGUUCGGUCCCUAUCUACCGUGGGCGCUGGAAAUUUGAGAGGAUCUGCUCCUAGUACGAGAGGACCAGAGUGGACGAACCUCUGGUGUACCGGUUGUGACGCCAGUCGCAUCGCCGGGUAGCUAUGUUCGGAAGGGAUAACCGCUGAAAGCAUCUAAGCGGGAAGCCUACCUCAAGAUAAGAUUUCCCUAGGACUUUAUGUCCUCUAAAGAGCCGUUCGAGACUAGGACGUUGAUAGGUUGGAUGUGGAAGCAUAGUGAUAUGUGAAGCUGACCAAUACUAAUUGCUCGUGAGGCUUGACUAU
rnacentral:rRNA from 1 species